CGGGGUGUAGCGCAGUUGGCUAGCGCGCGUGGUUUGGGACCAUGAGGUCGUGGGUUCGAGUCCCACCUCCCCGACCA
rnacentral:tRNA from 4 species